rnacentral:rRNA from 1 species
ACGAACGCUGGCGGCGUGCUUAACACAUGCAAGUCGAACGGAAAGGCCCUGCUUGCAGGGUACUCGAGUGGCGAACGGGUGAGUAACACGUGGGUGAUCUGCCCUGCACUUCGGGAUAAGCCUGGGAAACUGGGUCUAAUACCGGAUAGGAGCCAUUUUUAGUGUGAUGGUUGGAAAGUUUUUUCGGUGUAGGAUGAGCUCGCGGCCUAUCAGCUUGUUGGUGGGGUAAUGGCCUACCAAGGCGGCGACGGGUAGCCGGCCUGAGAGGGUGGACGGCCACAUUGGGACUGAGAUACGGCCCAGACGCCUACGGGAGGCAGCAGGGGGGAAUAUUGCACAAUGGGCGCAAGCCUGAUGCAGCGACGCCGCGUGGGGGAUGACGGCCUUCGGGUUGUAAACUCCUUUCGCUAGGGACGAAGCUUUUUGUGACGGUACCUAGAUAAGAAGCACCGGCUAACUACGUG